UUCCUAUAUCUAAUGUUCAAGAUCUAUUUUUCCUCUAUCUCUAUGUGGAAAUCAACUCUCACCUAUCACCUCCUCUAACCUCUAUAUACAAAUCAUAUUCCUCCUUCUUUACCUCCAAUUCUAGAUCUUCACCAAACCAUAAAGUUUUCAUCAUCUAAUUUUACUCUCUACAAAUUGUGAAUCUUGGGUUGUGAAACAAGAUUUGGAAUAGUUGUUGGGAUUUUGGCAAGAUCUAAAAUCUAGGAAUUUGAUCUGGUGCAUUCGAAGUUAACUUGCAUCUCCUUGUCUUUGGUGGAUGGCUACCCAAAACAAGAAGAAUAAGAGAAACUUUUGAAGUUAUCGUGACAACCAUUUUACUUCAAAAAAGAUGGAACAAGUUGUCAAUGUCAUUAUUUCAUUUUAUUUUCAAUUCAUUAAAAUGUAUGAUAUUUUUUGAAAUUUAUUAUGUCAUAUCCUAUUAUCUUAUCUAUAUAUAUACCAUUGUUGGAUCUUCUCUUUAUUGGCCUAUAAGAGCA